GUCGAGCGGCGGACGGGUGAGUAAUGCCUAGGAAAUUGCCCUGAUGUGGGGGAUAACCAUUGGAAACGAUGGCUAAUACCGCAUGAUGCCUACGGGCCAAAGAGGGGGACCUUCGGGCCUCUCGCGUCAGGAUAUGCCUAGGUGGGAUUAGCUAGUUGGUGAGGUAAGGGCUCACCAAGGCGACGAUCCCUAGCUGGUCUGAGAGGAUGAUCAGCCACACUGGAACUGAGACACGGUCCAGACUCCUACGGGAGGCAGCAGUGGGGAAUAUUGCACAAUGGGCGCAAGCCUGAUGCAGCCAUGCCGCGUGUGUGAAGAAGGCCUUCGGGUUGUAAAGCACUUUCAGUCGUGAGGAAGGUAGUGUAGUUAAUAGCUGCAUUAUUUGACGUUAGCGACAGAAGAAGCACCGGCUAACUCCGUGCCAGCAGCCGCGGUAAUACGGAGGGUGCGAGCGUUAAUCGGAAUUACUGGGCGUAAAGCGCAUGCAGGUGGUUUGUUAAGUCAGAUGUGAAAGCCCGGGGCUCAACCUCGGAAUUGCAUUUGAAACUGGCAGACUAGAGUACUGUAGAGGGGGGUAGAAUUUCAGGUGUAGCGGUGAAAUGCGUAGAGAUCUGAAGGAAUACCGGUGGCGAAGGCGGCCCCCUGGACAGAUACUGACACUCAGAUGCGAAAGCGUGGGGAGCAAACAGGAUUAGAUACCCUGGUAGUCCACGCCGUAAACGAUGUCUACUUGGAGGUUGUGGCCUUGAGCCGUGGCUUUCGGAGCUAACGCGUUAAGUAGACCGCCUGGGGAGUACGGUCGCAAGAUUAAAACUCAAAUGAAUUGACGGGGGCCCGCACAAGCGGUGGAGCAUGUGGUUUAAUUCGAUGCAACGCGAAGAACCUUACCUACUCUUGACAUCCAGAGAACUUUCCAGAGAUGGAUUGGUGCCUUCGGGAACUCUGAGACAGGUGCUGCAUGGCUGUCGUCAGCUCGUGUUGUGAAAUGUUGGGUUAAGUCCCGCAACGAGCGCAACCCUUAUCCUUGUUUGCCAGCGAGUAAUGUCGGGAACUCCAGGGAGACUGCCGGUGAUAAACCGGAGGAAGGUGGGGACGACGUCAAGUCAUCAUGGCCCUUACGAGUAGGGCUACACACGUGCUACAAUGGCGCAUACAGAGGGCAGCCAACUUGCGAAAGUGAGCGAAUCCCAAAAAGUGCGUCGUAGUCCGGAUUGGAGUCUGCAACUCGACUCCAUGAAGUCGGAAUCGCUAGUAAUCGUGGAUCAGAAUGCCACGGUGAAUACGUUCCCGGGCCUUGUACACACCGCCCGUCACACCAUGGGAGUGGGCUGCAAAAGAAGUAGUGUAGUUUAACCUUUCGGGGGGACGCUUAC
rnacentral:rRNA from 1 species